UAGGGAAUCUUCGGCAAUGGGGGCAACCCUGACCGAGCAACGCCGCGUGAGUGAAGAAGGUUUUCGGAUCGUAAAGCUCUGUUGUAAGAGAAGAACGUGUGUGAGAGUGGAAAGUUCACACAGUGACGGUAACUUACCAGAAAGGGACGGCUAACUACGUGCCAGCAGCCGCGGUAAUACGUAGGUCCCGAGCGUUGUCCGGAUUUAUUGGGCGUAAAGCGAGCGCAGGCGGUUUAAUAAGUCUGAAGUUAAAGGCAGUGGCUUAACCAUUGUUCGCUUUGCACACUGUUAAACUUGAGUGCAGAAGGGGAGAGUGGAAUUCCAUGUGUAGCGGUGAAAUGCGUAGAUAUAUGGAGGAACACCGGUGGCGAAAGCGGCUCUCUGGUCUGUAACUGACGCUGAGGCUCGAAAGCGUGGGGAGCAAACAGG
rnacentral:rRNA from 1 species